GCGUACCUUUUGUAUAAUGGGUCAGCGACUUAUAUUCUGUAGCAAGGUUAACCGAAUAGGGGAGCCGAAGGGAAACCGAGUCUUAACGGGCGUUAAGUUGCAGGGUAUAGACCCGAAACCCGGUGAUCUAGCCAUGGGCAGGUUGAAGGUUGGGUAACACUAACUGGAGGACCGAACCGACUAAUGUUGAAAAAUUAGCGGAUGACUUGUGGCUGGGGGUGAAAGGCCAAUCAAACCGGGAGAUAGCUGGUUCUCCCCGAAAGCUAUUUAGGUAGCGCCUCGUGAAUUCAUCUCCGGGGGUAGAGCACUGUUUCGGCAAGGGGGUCAUCCCGACUUACCAACCCGAUGCAAACUGCGAAUACCGGAGAAUGUUAUCACGGGAGACACACGGCGGGUGCUAACGUCCGUCGUGAAGAGGGAAACAACCCAGACCGCCAGCUAAGGUCCCAAAGUCAUGGUUAAGUGGGAAACGAUGUGGGAAGGCCCAGACAGCCAGGAUGUUGGCUUAGAAGCAGCCAUCAUUUAAAGAAAGCGUAAUAGCUCACUGGUCGAGUCGGCCUGCGCGGAAGAUGUAACGGGGCUAAACCAUGCACCGAAGCUGCGGCAGCGACACUGUGUGUUGUUGGGUAGGGGAGCGUUCUGUAAGCCUGUGAAGGUGUCUGUGAGGAUGCUGGAGGUAUCAGAAGUGCGAAUGCUGACAUAAGUAACGAUAAAGCGGGUGAAAAGCCCGCUCGCCGGAAGACCAAGGGUUCCUGUCCAACGUUAAUCGGGGCAGGGUGAGUCGACCCCUAAGGCGAGGCCGAAAGGCGUAGUCGAUGGGAAACAGGUUAAUAUUCCUGUACUUGGUGUUACUGCGAAGGGGGGACGGAGAAGGCUAUGUUGGCCGGGCGACGGUUGUCCCGGUUUAAGCGUGUAGGCUGGUUUUCCAGGCAAAUCCGGAAAAUCAAGGCUGAGGCGUGAUGACGAGGCACUACGGUGCUGAAGCAACAAAUGCCCUGCUUCCAGGAAAAGCCUCUAAGCAUCAGGUAACAUCAAAUCGUACCCCAAACCGACACAGGUGGUCAGGUAGAGAAUACCAAGGCGCUUGAGAGAACUCGGGUGAAGGAACUAGGCAAAAUGGUGCCGUAACUUCGGGAGAAGGCACGCUGAUAUGUAGGUGAAGUCCCUCGCGGAUGGAGCUGAAAUCAGUCGAAGAUACCAGCUGGCUGCAACUGUUUAUUAAAAACACAGCACUGUGCAAACACGAAAGUGGACGUAUACGGUGUGACGCCUGCCCGGUGCCGGAAGGUUAAUUGAUGGGGUCAGCGCAAGCGAAGCUCUUGAUCGAAGCCCCGGUAAACGGCGGCCGUAACUAUAACGGUCCUAAGGUAGCGAAAUUCCUUGUCGGGUAAGUUCCGACCUGCACGAAUGGCGUAAUGAUGGCCAGGCUGUCUCCACCCGAGACUCAGUGAAAUUGAACUCGCUGUGAAGAUGCAGUGUACCCGCGGCAAGACGGAAAGACCCCGUGAACCUUUACUAUAGCUUGACACUGAACAUUGAGCCUUGAUGUGUAGGAUAGGUGGGAGGCUUUGAAGUGUGGACGCCAGUCUGCAUGGAGCCGACCUUGAAAUACCACCCUUUAAUGUUUGAUGUUCUAACGUGGACCCGUGAUCCGGGUUGCGGACAGUGUCUGGUGGGUAGUUUGACUGGGGCGGUCUCCUCCUAAAGAGUAACGGAGGAGCACGAAGGUUGGCUAAUCCUGGUCGGACAUCAGGAGGUUAGUGCAAUGGCAUAAGCCAGCUUGACUGCGAGCGUGACGGCGCGAGCAGGUGCGAAAGCAGGUCAUAGUGAUCCGGUGGUUCUGAAUGGAAGGGCCAUCGCUCAACGGAUAAAAGGUACUCCGGGGAUAACAGGCUGAUACCGCCCAAGAGUUCAUAUCGACGGCGGUGUUUGGCACCUCGAUGUCGGCUCAUCACAUCCUGGGGCUGAAGUAGGUCCCAAGGGUAUGGCUGUUCGCCAUUUAAAGUGGUACGCGAGCUGGGUUUAGAACGUCGUGAGACAGUUCGGUCCCUAUCUGCCGUGGGCGCUGGAGAACUGAGGGGGGCUGCUCCUAGUACGAGAGGACCGGAGUGGACGCAUCACUGGUGUUCGGGUUGUCAUGCCAAUGGCACUGCCCGGUAGCUAAAUGCGGAAGAGAUAAGUGCUGAAAGCAUCUAAGCACGAAACUUGCCCCGAGAUGAGUUCUCCCUGACCCUUUAAGGGUCCUGAAGGAACGUUGAAGACGACGACGUUGAUAGGCCGGGUGUGUAAGCGCAGCGAUGCGUUGAGCUAACCGGUACUAAUGAACCGUGAGGCUUAACCU
rnacentral:rRNA from 1 species